CGGGGCGUAGCGCAGUCCGGGAGCGCACACGGAUCGGGCCCGUGAGGUCGGAGGUUCAAAUCCUCUCGCCCCGACCA
rnacentral:tRNA from 1 species